CUCGUCGCCGCCAUGAGCGCCGGGCAGGCCGCGGGGGAGGAGGCGGACGCCGCCGCCGCCGCUUCCCCAACACUUCCCAGGGUGCUCUCGGCGCUCUUCUACGGGACGUGCUCUUUCCUCACCGUGCUGGUCAACAAGGCGCUCCUCAGCGCCUACAGCUUCCCAUCACCAAUGUUUCUUGGAAUUGGACAGAUGGCAGCCACUAUACUUAUCUUGUAUGUGUCAAAACUAAAUAAGAUUGUUCACUUCCCUGAUUUUGACAAAAGUAUACCUGUGAAGUUAUUUCCUCUGCCUCUGAUUUAUGUUGGAAACCACUUAAGUGGAUUAUCAAGUACCAGCAAACUCAGUUUGCCGAUGUUUACAGUGCUCAGGAAGUUUACCAUUCCACUUACUUUACUGCUGGAAAUCAUCAUACUUGGGAAACGGUACCCACUGAAUAUUAUAGUCAGCGUAUUUGCCAUCAUUCUUGGGGCUUUCAUAGCCGCUGGGUCUGAUCUGUCUUUCAAUCUGGAGGGCUAUAUCUUUGUGUUGCUAAAUGAUAUCUUCACAGCAGCAAAUGGAGUUUAUACAAAGCAGAAAAUUGAUCCAAAGGAGUUGGGAAAAUAUGGUGUCCUGUUUUAUAAUGCUUGUUUCAUGGUGAUUCCAACAGUUAUUAUUAGCUUUUCUACUGGAGAUUUUCAGCAGGCAACACAUUUCCAGCACUGGACAAAUUUUUUAUUUGUCUUUCAAUUUAUUCUUUCCUGCUUGUUGGGGUUUCUCUUGAUGUAUUCUACUGUCCUGUGCAGUCAUUACAAUUCUGCACUCACAACAACAGUAGUUGGUGCAAUCAAGAAUAUAUCCAUUGCUUACAUCGGAAUGUUGAUUGGUGGAGAUUACAUAUUCUCCAUGUUAAACUUUUUAGGGCUAAAUAUUUGGCUAACAUAUGGCUGGGAGUCAGAUCAUCUGACUGCUUUAUGGGCUCUUAUCUUUCACUGUGCUGCACACAAGAAGAAAUACUUCUGGAUCUUGCUCUGGUAGAGCAAACAAUUAUAUAAGUGACAUUAGAGGCAGAAUAUCUGGGUCACCUGGAGAGAAAACCUUUUGAUGAAUAAAGAUGUGCAUGCUAGGAAGUGGAGAAGAAAGAAACCUAGAGAGGAGCUGUCUAGGGAAAGGGAUGUGAGAUUUACAGGAGAAGUGUCCCUGGUGGCAAAAGAAGCUUGGAGAAAUGUCUGCAAGGUGUGGGUUCUGGACAUAGCCUCCAGUGAGACAACCAAAGGAGGACAGCUGCAGACUGAAAGACUAGGAAUAUGUCACAGCUGAGGUACUAGAACAAAGACCAAGGAGAGCAAAAGAUGUCCAUGAAGAUGGAAAUCAGCUUGUGAGGCAAAUGUCUAAUUCCCAAAGCCAAGUGGAAAGAGUUUCUGUAGAGGGGAAAUUGAGAAAGCAGCAACAGGGUGUUUAUUACCUCCCCAGCGAAGCGGUGCGGACGGAGCACAGCCUCUUAAAGGAUUUGAGAUUCUUCCCUUGAUCUGGGCAUGGCUGCCUGCCUCUCCCUGGGAACAGCCGCUGUGUGGAGCAUCACUCAUCCUCUUCCUUACAGGACUGCUCUUUGUCCCUGCUACUCAAAAGCUGUGCUGCUGAACCUGGCCUUGAGCAAUGUGAAAGUGUGCCACGUAAUCUGAUGUGAGGUGACACAUCAGGUCAGCUCCUCUGGGGAUGAGGUGUUGCCCCCAGUUCCACCAAUCAUCAGGUUAUCUAGCAGCCAGCUACCUGGCCAAAGAAGCACAGCCCGUGUACACAAAAGUGGAAUUCAGCUAAUUUCACCUCCAGAAGCUACUUUCUAUGUUGAAUGUGGCAACAUAAUUCAGGAGGCAAGCAGAGUUCCUCUAGGGGCUGGUAAGCUGCCUUUGCCCUGCUAGGGUGACUUCCCAAUGUUCCAGCAGCACCCUGUGGAGCAUCCACGUAGGGAAAGCUACACCUAAGCUUGGAGGUAGAGUUACACUGGGAUGACCCCAAGCACUCUCAGGGCCAUAUUAGUCCUUUUCCUCUUCUGGAGGCGCUGGACAUUUUAGCGUUCGUGUAAAUAAAGUAUGUGUGAAACGUGUUGUAUCUUUCCACACAGACACACAUGCAUGACACAAAUGCUCUGAGGCUAUCGGGUCAUUUAUAAUGCUCUUUGGUUUUUAUUACCAAGUAGACACAAUAUUUUUCAUGUACACAACUUGCAUAUUCACUAUUAUUUUCAGCUGUUUUAAAGUAAUAAAUAUUCUCAUGCACCUGGACAUAGUGGUGCUGCAAUUCUUAUACAUUUGCCUCUCUCCCAUCACUUAUUUUAAAAGUUCAGUAUUGGUCUUUUUCUUAUAUUUCCUAUGGUGUUACUCUAAAUACAUGUAUGAUCUUAAAAAAAAAAAAAAAAGAAAAAAGAAAAAAGAAAAAAAAAAGCCAAUGGAGCUGCCAUUUCUCUGCAAUCUUGUCGAGACAAGACUCUGCAUGGUGCUUCCAAACAGAAUAAUGGCAUUUAUCCCAAGGUGUGUUUCUAGCUGUGCUCCCCCUAUCCCCAGCAGUCUGUGUGGUGCACUGACAUAAAUUUGUACUUGUGAGAGUGCACUACCACAUAGGGAGCAAUAGCUGCCUUUCAAAAUGCAUCUUUUUUCUUUUGAGAGCUUUUGCUAUCAAGUCCAAACACUGGAAAAAAUGGGAAGAAUAAAUCCUCCAAUCACACAAUUUACAAAGUGUGAAGCUUUAGGAUAUUAAAAUAUUAUUAAAAGAGUCUUCACUUUGUUGGGUUCACUCACGUCCUCUGCAUUGAACUUGACUUGCUCUAGUUAAUAUGAUGUUUCCUUAAGUCAGAGAAAAAACCAAAGGAACAGAGUGAAGCAUAAAGGACAUAUAAUCAGGCCAAGACCUCUGGUAUCAGGAAAGGACUAAGAACAAUCAGUGACACUGGAACACAGAUGCACUUAUGCCUAUAGAAGCAUAAUAGCUUUGUUCUCAAUUCAGAUAUAUUUUGAAGGUAUAAUAAAAUGUUACACUGCAGUUUCUCAUGAUAUGAUGUCCUGGGUGGAUCCUGACAUACAUCAGCAUUUUAGAAAUGACAUCUAACAUCUAGCAAGAAAUGAAACAUAAUUCUCCAGGUUUACAAGAACGAGUAAUAAAGACCAUGAGUGAUGGUCUGGCAGAAAAGUCCUGGCAAGGAGGAUUACAGUGGAUUUUAAUAUGACUUUGGAAUGUCAUGUAAGGGUAGUUUUGAAGUCUACAUAUUUUGGAAUCUGCUUCUCUCUCCAUGUACCCCAGCUUUAGCACGGCUGCAUCAGAAAAACUGAAUGAGUGGCAUUAUGCACGUGGUAUUGUGCAGAUUUAACUGCUGGAUUGUCCCCUGGGAGCCAGCCACUGAAGAAAGCCCUGCCACAGAUUGUAACCUUUCUUCAGCAGAGGGGUGAGUCACAAGAACACAUGCACACGUGUGACAAUGUGUUUUUAUAGGCCACACCUUCUCCCCUUUUUUGUUCCUGGUGGAAGACCCUUCACCUCUGAACAACUGAGUGCUUUAGGUGGCAUGGCAGUCACUAGCUGCUCCUUCCAUGCUGCUAUUGGAAUGACACUCACGUAAAGGGAAACUUCUUGAUGGCAAAAGUUGUGGCCAAUAGGGAGGGCAUUCCUGAUAAUGUAAUUAUUAGCCAAAGGAGAAACUCUGGUCACCUCCAGCAGGCUUCUCUAAAAUCCAUCACAGCAUUAACAGUAGAAUUGUUGACAAUUCUUGCUCCUCCUUCUUGGUGGGUGAAGUUCAUUCUUAAUGAGGGGCUUCUACUGCUAAACCGAGGCCAUGCUUUCUGAUUUUUUCAGUAGAUGAAAAAUGAGAGAGCUCCUAAGAACAGAGCUUAAUCUGUGAAGAAAUGGGGAACUCAGCAUACUCACUUCAUAAAGAAACCUCUAAGGAAAUUUGGUCUGUUAAAUUUCUCUAGUUUAAUAGCUGUGAAGUCAUAAAAUUUAACAGAACAAUGGUUUUCCAUAUAAAGGUCUCUUCAGUCAAUAGUUCCUCUCUAAGCUGUUCCAAAUCAUCUUGGCUCCAAUAAGAUCAGAUGCUCAAACAGCCAGUGCAGGAAACAGUGUGACUUCUAUAGGUUUAGCAGCUGUUCAAUACGUUCUGUUCUGGUGUACAAUUCUGUCACAUUUUUCACAGGCUUCUGUUAUUGUGUCUAUUAGACAGGACACAUAAGAGAUAUUUUUUUAAAGCAGUUUGUGGAGGGAGGCAUUGCCUUUUACAGUAUUUUUUAAUUGAGAUGUAAACAGAAGUCCAACUUAUUUAACCUGCAAAUGGUUUUGUGGUAAAUUAGCAAUAUAAAAGGGGACUAUCUGAGCUUCCAGAGUCUGACAGGUGUUUUGCAGUCCCAGGUGGUGAUUAAUGUCAGUGAUAUUUAUUUAUCUCAUGAACACUAUGACAAAUUAAAACACAGCCUAUUGAAUUUCUUGUGCUUGUUUCACCAGAAAAUAAAAACAAUAUAAAUUC